UGGGGAAUAUUGGACAAUGGGCGAAAGCCUGAUCCAGCAAUGCCGCGUGUGUGAAGAAGGCCUUCGGGUUGUAAAGCACUUUUAGUGGGGAAGAAAUACUCAAGGGUAAUAUCCUUGAGGGCUGACGUUACCCACAGAAAAAGCACUGGCUAACUCUGUGCCAGCAGCCGCGGUAAUACAGAGAGUGCGAGCGUUAAUCGGAAUUACUGGGCGUAAAGCGCACGUAGGUGGAUAUUUAAGUCGGAUGUGAAAUCCCUGGGCUCAACUCAGGAAUUGCAUUCGAUACUGAGUUUCUAGAGUAUAGUAGAGGGAGGUGGAAUUUCCGGUGUAGCGGUGAAAUGCGUAGAUAUCGGAAGGAACAUCAGUGGCGAAGGCGGCCUCCUGGACUAAUACUGACACUUAGGUGCGAAAGCGUGGGGAGCAAACAGG
rnacentral:rRNA from 1 species